AAUUGCCUAACGGCUGAACCAGCAACUUGGAGGAAUGUAUAGCAAUAGCUAUUUAUCUCAACGAUAGGAUCGACUCUGUUGAAUAAAAUUCUGGGUAUGAUGAUGAUGAUGACAUCGUUUACCUAUAAGUCUUGACAAAGUUACGUGCCAGCAGUCGCGGUAAUACGUAAGAGGCUAGCGUUAUUCAUCUUUAAUAGGUUUAAAGGGUACUUAGACGGUGAGUAAAGCCUUGAGGAACUAAUUCGCUAGAGUUACUUGUGAGGGGGUUUUAAAGUACUAGUGGAGUAGAGAUAAAAUUCUUUGAUACCUUUUUCGAAAGAAGUAAUGGCACAGGUAUAGGCGAAAGCAUCCCCUUAUGUGAGAGCUUUGAGCAGCGAACAGGAUUAGAUACCCUGGUAGUCCAAGCAGACAAAUCUGAAUGCCAUAGACUAGUUUUUUCUAUAAGUGAAAAUGCAAGCAUUCCACCUCAAGAGUAAUUUGGCAACAUUGGAACUGAAAUCAUUAGACCGUUUCUGAAACCAGUAGUGAAGUAUGUUGUUUAAUUUGAUGUUCCGCAAAAAACCUUACCAUGAAUGUUUACAAGCGUUGCACGGCUGUUUUCAGUUAAUGUCGUGAGAUUUUGGUUAGUUCCAUUAAAUUAACGUAAACCCUUAUUUUAUUUGAAAAUAAAAUAACUCCUCCGUACAUUGGAUGUGAUAAUAGGGAUUAAGACAAGUCAUCAUGGCCUAAAUGUUAUAAACCAUUACAAAAGGAUGUGAAAUUGCAAAAUUAAACUAAUCCUAUAAAG
rnacentral:rRNA from 1 species